AUGGCUAUUGCCACCAUCCUUGAUCCACAUUAUAAGAUGCAUAUGUUGAAGGCUUCAUUUGGGUCAUUGUAUGGAACUGAACAUGCAUCCAUAGAAGUUGAUAAAAUAAAGAAGUUAAUGCUAGAUUUGAUGGCUGAAUAUCAAGAUGUAUCUCAGUGUGUUGACACAUCUAAUGUUGGAAACACCCCAUCUGUUCAUAAUGGUGGUGUAGAUGAAAUUUUGGGUGUGUUUGAGCAAUACUUGUCUUCACAACCUGUCACUCCUUCUCAAGUUCGCACUAAAUUGGGCAUGUACUUGGAUGAGCCCCUUAUUCGUAGAACAACAGAUUUUGACAUUAUUAAUUGA
rnacentral:rRNA from 1 species